ACGGAGUGCGCUCGCGGAUUCGAGUCGGCGUCGUGGAUUCGGCGUGUCGAAGCUUCGUGGAUUCGAAGUGUGGAUGUUUUGUGGAUUCGGGACGUUGCGUUCGUAGAUUCAGACGUGGGGCGUGGACAACUCAUUGCUAUGCGCACGAGAUCCAGAGAAGAUAAAAGAGAGAUUUGAGUCCGUUGAUUCGGUAAUCACUUUGUAAUCUUUUAUUUCUUAGUAGAUUAUUUUUUCGCGUGUUG
rnacentral:lncRNA from 1 species